AUGAGUCUUUCUGUGCUGAUCUGCAUGAGAGGUUUCUUAAAGGGAAGUGAAACAAUGUGUGAUGUCCGUCCCACCCUGACGGUGCUGCCCCCCUCCGGUGAGGAGCUGGACCAGGGCAAGGCCACGCUCAUAUGUCUGGCCAACAAGGGCUUCCCCUCAGACUGGAGUCUGGCCUGGAAGGUGGACGGCAGCAGCAGCAGCAGCUUGGAGCAGAGCAGGAGCCCCGCGGUGCUGCAGAAGGACGGCCUCUACAGCUGGAGCAGCACCCUGAGGCUCACUGCAGACCAGUGGAGGAAGGUGGGCUCUGUGACCUGUGAGGCCACCCAGGGCUCCCAGACUCCACUCUCAGAGACUUUGAGGAGAGACCAGUGUCCCCAGUCCUGAUCUGACUUACUGGGACUCUGCUACUGGUUUUACUCUGCUACUGCUCUCACUCUGAUCUCUGCUACUCUUGUUUUUUUCCUCUCUGUCUCUUUAAAUGUUGCAGUAGUGAUGUUUCUUGCUCAGUGAUUUCAAUAUUUCAAGAAAAUAAAGACGUGUUUAUCCAA